rnacentral:rRNA from 1 species
UACGGAGGGUGCAAGCGUUAUCCGGAUUCACUGGGUUUAAAGGGUGCGUAGGCGGACAGGUAAGUCAGUGGUGAAAUCUCUGGGCUUAACUCAGAAACUGCCGUUGAUACUAUUUGUCUUGAAUGUCAUGGAGGUAAGCGGAAUAUGUCAUGUAGCGGUGAAAUGCUUAGAUAUGACAUAGAACACCGAUAGCGAAGGCAGCUUACUACAUGAAGAUUGACGCUGAGGCACGAAAGCGUGGGGGAGCAAACAGGA